UCACGAACCAGCGGCGUAUUUCUGGCGCACAGGACCUCGUUCGUCUUUAGCGGCGCUUGCGUUCCACCGGGGGUUUGCCCGGUUGGCUGAACUGAGCAUAGGCCACCCGAAACAGUUCGGCUAGUGCCCCGGCGGUCUCUGCGGUCAAGUUGCGGUCCGCGCGGAGAUGCGCCUCUACGAUGUCCGGAAGAGAUUCCUGGGGAAAGUAGACGACUGGGCGAUCACCGUUCGUUUCAGCCUCGGAUCCAGCCAAGAUCCGUUCGAGUGGAAUCUGCAGCCACCCGGCAAUCCGUGC
rnacentral:misc_RNA from 1 species